rnacentral:rRNA from 1 species
CGGGGGGAGCAAGCGUUGUUCGGAUUUACUGGGCGUAAAGGGCGCGUAGGCGGCCAGCGCAAGUCAGUUGUGAAAUCUCCGAGCUUAACUCGGAAAGGUCAACUGAUACUGCGCGGCUAGAGUGCAGAAGGGGCAACUGGAAUUCUUGGUGUAGCGGUGAAAUGCGUAGAUAUCAAGAGGAACACCUGCGGCGAAGGCGGGUUGCUGGGCUGACACUGACGCUGAUGCGCGAAAGCCAGGGGAGCGAACGGGAUUAGAUACCCCGGUAGUCCUGGCCUUAAACGAUGUAUGCUUGGUGUCUGGGGUUAUAAAGUCCCCGGGUGCCGUCGCUAACGCUUUAAGCAUUCCGCCUGGGGAGUACGGUCGCAAGACUG